GAUAUUUUCUCCACAGACGACCCUCGGCUUUCCCGCAGCAGUUUCGGUGCCUGUUUCCCGUGCCUGGAUCGCUUCUCUCUGGACUCUGGACUUGGAACACAAACUCUGUGUCAGUUUGGUGCUACUUGGGAGUUACUUGUCUUCGUUUUGAGAGAUUGCACCAGCUUUGUUCCCCGAGUUGCUCACUGAAGGAAGAACCUCAGAAAGGAUGGACAAAACCUUUUAUGGGAUCACAUACAAAAACCUUUUUUCACUUGUGCACAUAUCUUUAACUACACAGAUUUCUUAUUUUCACAUUGUUGCUCUAUGUGAAGAGGUUUUGUGGAGGGUGUUGUUUAAUACGGAACACACUCAAGUAUUUUGGUGAUGAGACAUUGUGCAUUUCAAUUAGGAGAAUAAAAGGAGAAAAUAUGAGUAGUCUUUCUUCCUGGAAAAUAAAAUAAUGGCAAUGGAGGAUGUGAUUAACCACUUCAACACAUCAUGAAGGGAGACUAAAAGUAUUCAUGAAAUUGGGUCAAAUUUAUUAGUUUAUGAAAAAGCAUUCAGAAAGCAAAUAUAUUUGGGUAAGACUAGCCAUUUCAUUACAGCACUUGCAGAACAAAACUAUCAAUGUUCAAAUUUAACUAACUAAAAUAAAGACUAAAUAAAUUGAAUACAAAA